rnacentral:lncRNA from 1 species
AGUUCCUCCUACCUGUUAUUGGAGCUGUCAGGACUCUUGAAGCAGCAUGGUUGGUGUGAGGCUGAACGGAAAGGAGACCAAUGAGUGGGGAUUUACUGGUAGGGACUGGGGACCCAGGCAUCCUGCAUCCCCCGCCCCGCCCCAAACCCACGACUAACUCCCUCCUACCCUUCUCUGAAGUAGGAGCAGCACAACAAAGCCUUGUGUUCUUGGAAUUGUAUCCUCUUACAGCUGGGAAUAGAAAGGAGUGGGAGAGCAGACUGCUUGUUGGAAAUGUGUGUAUAUAUUCGGGUCCAGUGAGGGUCAGAGAGAGAGAGAGAAGAAAAAAAAAGAAGAGAAAGGAAAAGAAAAGAAAAAAAAAAAACCGAAAGAAACAAAAGGCCCUCUAGUGGAAACAGAAGUUUGUUCUGGUUUGCUUGCAUCCUGACCCUUCACUGCUUUGUUUUUGUUUUCAUUUUUCCUCUUCCUCCUCCAUCACUGUCACCACCAUGCUGCAGAUGAGCUUCAGUGCCUGGAACGUGCUUCUCCGGUGCUGCACCACGGAUCUAUACCGCUACCCCACACCCUUCUUCUUAACAGUAUAUGCGUCACCGUUAGCAAAGUCUAUCUCCCCUUCCUACAUCGCCUCCUUACUCACAGUCCAACAAACGAUUUUUUUCCUGAGACAAGAUUUUAGUAUGUACAUAGCCUAGGCUGGCAGUGAAAUUGCCAUCCUGGUUCAACCUCUCAAGAGCUGGGUUUACCGGGUUUAUUGGUGUGUGCCACUCCUGCUAUCAACAGACACUUUUGAAGGUCUCUUUAUACCUGAUCUUGUUCUUAGUUCUUUCUGUAGGAUAAGCAAAAACACAAACUGAAGCAAGUGCCUAGAUGUCUGUAAAGCUUCCUAGCUCUUGAUCACCGUAAACAAAGAUUCUGUUUAAAUAACACUUGUGUCCCAAACUA